AUUAUUUCAUUGGUUAGUUUGUAUUGCCUUGCCAACCAACCAGAGGAUGCCAUUUAUCCUUUUCUGACUAGCUGAGUGAACAGAGUACCCAGAAUGUUUGAAUAUGCCUUAAUUUCAUCCAGCAGCAAAGGAUGGAGCUCAGAGUUCUAGGACCCAGGAAGUUUGGCUAAUCCAGUUCUUGCUUUUGCAAGAACAAAUUUUGCUACCUAGUUAUUUGUAGCUUUCUUGAACAAAAAUUACAUUGUCCUAUAGAUUUUUCUUUUCAUUUAAAAAUAUAUCUUGAGGGCGGCCCCGGGUGGCUCAGAGAUUUGGCGCCUGCCUUCAGGCCAGGGCAUGAUCCUGGAGACCCAGGAUCGAGUCCCACAUCCGGCUCCAUGUAUGGAGCCUGCUUCACCCUCUGUCUGUGUCUCUGUCUCUCAAGAAUAAAUAAAUAAAAUCUUUUUAAAAAUGAAAAAAAAUUUUUAAAAAUAGAAAUAAAAAUAUAUCUUGUGCAUCUCUCCAAGUCAGUGCAGGUUUGUGGUAUCAGCACUCGAAAGGUCCAUGGAAUCUUUGAGAUUUCUCCUAGAAGUUCAGAAUUGGUUCCCACCCUUAAGGAUUUAGUGAAAACUUUCAAGAGUGAGGAGGAGAAGCUAGAAGAGGGAAGAGCUGUGUUACCUAUGACAAACCUGUAUCUCAGCUUUUGGGUUCAUUCUGUCCAACUUUGGUGUCUCUGGUAGCUUUGUUUUUGUUAGUUUGUUUUGUUUUUUACUUUAAUUCUUCGGCUUGCAUUUUCAGUGACAACAAUCUGGGUGGAUGAAGAUGAUGACACUCCAGUUGAGUGUAGAAGCAGAUACAGCACUUCCCAAGAGGGUUUGUGGCAGGGGGAGGCAGCAGAGCAAGAUGCAGAAUGAGUGUGUGCCUGAGACUUUCCUUUGUAAAGUUGGAGACAGCUCCUCAUAAAACAGGAGAAGGAGGCUGAACGUCCAGGACUCCAGGCAUGUGCUUAGGUCCAGACCCAUAGGAGUAGAGGAUCUGAAUACGGAGUCCGUCCUUGCCCCCAGAGUAAACUGUCACGAAGUGUCCCUGUCUGAAGACCUUCCGUCCUCUUCUUUACUACUCUCUAUCCUAUCGCUCUUGCCUCCUAAGCAGCUCUGGAAUCUGUCCCAAGCUCUUUAUCCUCUCUACUAAGAUGGCCCCCAGGACCUUACCUUGCCUGAAUGUCCACAAUCACCCCCAAACCCUCUUUCUCCAGAUCUUUUUUUUUUUUUUUU
rnacentral:lncRNA from 1 species